GGUUGUGGCUCAGCGGUAGAGCGCUCACCUAGCAUGCGCGAGGCCCUGGGUUCGAACCUCAACACCA
rnacentral:tRNA from 1 species